rnacentral:rRNA from 1 species
AUUGAACGCUGGCGGCAGGCCUAACACAUGCAAGUCGAGCGGAUGAAGGGAGCUUGCUCCUGGAUUCAGCGGCGGACGGGUGAGUAAUGCCUAGGAAUCUGCCUGGUAGUGGGGGAUAACGUCCGGAAACGGGCGCUAAUACCGCAUACGUCCUGAGGGAGAAAGUGGGGGAUCUUCGGACCCCACGCUAUCAGAUGAGCCUAGGUCGGAUUAGCUAGUUGGUGGGGUAAAGGCCUACCAAGGCGACGAUCCGUAACUGGUCUGAGAGGAUGAUCAGUCACACUGGAACUGAGACACGGUCCCUACUCCUACGGGAGGCAGCAGUGGGGAAUAUUGGACAAUGGGCGAAAGCCUGAUCCAGCCAUGCCGCGUGUGUGAAGAAGGUCUUCGGAUUGUAAAGCACUUUAAGUUGGGAGGAAGGGCAGUAAGUUAAUACCUUGCUGUUUUGACGUUACCAACAGAAUAAGCACCGGCUAACUUCGUG